AGCAGUAGCCACGGUAAUACGUAGGGUGCGAGCGUUAAUCGGAAUUACUGGGCGUAAAGCGUGCGCAGGCGGUUCGUUAAGACAGAUGUGAAAUCCCCGGGCUUAACCUGGGAACUGCAUUUGUGACUGGCGAGCUAGAGUAUGGCAGAGGGGGGUAGAAUUCCACGUGUAGCAGUGAAAUGCGUAGAGAUGUGGAGGAAUACCGAUGGCGAAGGCAGCCAUCUGGGACAACACUGACGCUGAGGCACGAAAGCGUGGGGAGCAAACAGGAUUAGAUACCCCCGUAGUCCCUGUCUCUUAUAA
rnacentral:rRNA from 1 species